CCCAUGUUCCUUAGAUCCACCCUUGGGUUCACACAGUCGGUCCACAGCUCAUGUGUGACUAGCUAGCUGGUCCACAGCUCAGGUGUGACUGGCUAGCUGGUCCAUGGCUCAGAUGUGACUAGCUUGAACCAGCAACUUUCUUGGUUGUAUGUCGAGGGUGCUUGAGUCAUAAGCAUGGAACAGUAAUAUACCUCAAUCUGUAGCUAUUUGCUGUCCUCUGUUGCUAGCUGUCGCUGCAGAUUUGGACAUC